GAAAUGCGAUAAGUAAUGUGAAUUGCAGAAUUCAGUGAAUCAUCGAAUCUUUGAACGCACAUUGCGCCCUUCGGUAUUCCGAAGGGCAUGCCUGUUCGAGCGUCAUUAUCACCCCUCAAGCCCCCGGCUUGGUGUUGGACGGUUUAGCCUUGGGUGACGAGGCCCGUUUUAAAAUCAAUGACGGCGGCCUGUUCGACCCCCGGUACACUGAGCUUCUGAACUGAGCACGUAUCGGUUGAAGGGUAGGCAGGACCCGGUCUUCUUCCUUAACCGGAAACUCUUUUCAAGGUUGACCUCGAAUCAGGUAGGGAUACCCGCUGAACUUAA
rnacentral:misc_RNA from 1 species